UUUCCGUAGGUGAACCUGCGGAAGGAUCAUUAUUGUAUAACCGAGGUGCGAGGGCUGUCGCUGACUCGAAAGGUCGUGCACGCCCGAGUGCCCUCACACACAUCCAUCUCACCCCUAUGUGCACCACCGCGUGGGUCCCCCUUUGGCUUGUUCGGAGGGGGGCUUACGUUUUCACACAAACUUUGUAUGCAGUGUAGAAUGUAUUUUUUGUUUUUGCGAUCACGCAAUCAAUACAACUUUCAACAACGGAUCUCUUGGCUCUCGCAUUGAUGAAGAACGCAGC
rnacentral:misc_RNA from 1 species